CAGAAUGGCCACCACGGAGACAAAGAAGCAGCUGUUUUGGGACGUCACAUAUUUCACCAGCUGCCGUUUCUGUGCACAGUUCAUCUUCGGGAGUCCAACGGGAAACCAGAAACUGCCAUCGACUUCUGUGGGAGCCAGUGUAUCCACCCAGGGGAAGCAGGUCGUCUUUGUUGGCUCUGAACACGAACGGGGCUCCCGUCUCACAAAGAGCAAGGCCACGAAUGGGAGCGGUUCUCUCUCUCGGUCGGGGGGGAGCGGUGACAGCUGACACCUGGCCCGCGUACCUUCUCUGAGCAUAAAGAGAGGGUUUCAGUUUCCAGCGCUCUUACUUCAAUGCCUUCCACCAGCACUCAGUUCACUUCAAACCCUCAGUGCAGAGAAGCAUUUAGUAUUGAUGGCACGACACAGACUCAAUCUUUCCCUUGCAGUCUCAUAUCACUCACAGGCUGCUAUUACUACAGAAGCUUUUGGAUUUUAGUGGGCUGUUGCCUCCUUCGGCUUCACUUCCUCCUGCGGGGAUAUUCUAAUUGCUGCAGUAAAUUGCUGGAACAGAACACAGCAAUUGUCACACAGAAAGAGAUCAAUGGUCCCUCUAUUCCAGUGCUCUGUCUCCCACAGCAGCCAAUACUGAAGCAAUAAAAUCCUUUAAUGCACCUAAUUGUGCAAUGCUAUGCCAAGGGGGACAUUUCUUCCUGACGCCAGCUGAUGAUCACCUUAUGCCCUGGAACACGAGGAGCGAAAACCCUUCUAAUAACUGUCCUCCAUAGCGUAUCUGCAAAAUCUUUUCUGAUGCAGGAUUUCAAAAAUGGAGCCCCACAAUUUGCUUAGAAAUCAGAUGCACAGCAAUUGCGACUGAGCCCGCUAAUGAAGGAGUGGCAGGAGCUAAUGAUCUUUAGGUCGCUUUUUGUACCUGCAACUCCCUGACUGUCUUGCGCUAUUAUAGUAAUUGGGCCCUCAACUGUGGAGGGUACACUUUGGCAUGGGGGUUCUUUUUCAUAGGUGUCUAAAGGUUUAAUUUUUUUUUUAAAAAAAGCUUACUUGACUCUUUGCCUUUGUACCGUCUCCCAGCACCAAGCUCAACUAGCUAACUCUUGCAUUAAAAAUUAUUAUCCAUUACGAA